rnacentral:rRNA from 1 species
UACAGAGGUCUCAAGCGUUGUUCGGAUUCAUUGGGCCUAAAGCAUCCGUAGCCGGCCUUACAAGUCCUCCGUUAAAUCCAGCUGCUUAACAGAUGGGCUGCGGAGGAUACUAUAAGACUAGGAGGCAGGAGAGGCAAGCGGUACUCAGUGGGUAGGGGUAAAAUCCGUUGAUCCAUUGAAGACCACCAGUGGCGAAGGCGGCUUGCCAGAAUGCGCUCGACGGUGAGGGAUGAAAGCUGGGGGAGCAAACCGG